AUUAUGUUAUGAUAGUCUUGUGUGAUGGGAGUACCUCGAGGGAUAAUACAGGCUCUUCCAUCCAACUCCUAUUCCGACAUGUCCUCAUCGUGCAGAGUGGUAACAUGUGCCACCACAUAUCUAAGCAUGGCAAAACGGUCACGU
rnacentral:ribozyme from 1 species